GACGAACGCUGGCGGCGUGCCUAAUACAUGCAAGUAGAACGCUGAAGGAGGAGCUUGCUUCUCUGGAUGAGUUGCGAACGGGUGAGUAACGCGUAGGUAACCUGCCUGGUAGCGGGGGAUAACUAUUGGAAACGAUAGCUAAUACCGCAUAAUAGCAGUUGUUGCAUGACAACUGUUUGAAAGGUGCAAUUGCACCACUACCAGAUGGACCUGCGUUGUAUUAGCUAGUUGGUGGGGUAACGGCUCACCAAGGCGACGAUACAUAGCCGACCUGAGAGGGGGAUCGGCCACACUGGGACUGAGACACGGCCCAGACUCCUACGGGAGGCAGCAGUAGGGGAUCUUCGGCAAUGGACGGAAGUCUGACCGAGCAACGCCGCGUGAGUGGAGAAGGUUUUCGGAUCGUAAAGCUCUGUUGUAAGAGAAGAACGAGUGUGAGAGUGGAAAGUUCACACUGUGACGGUAUCUUACCAGAAAGGGACGGCUAACUACGUG
rnacentral:rRNA from 1 species